GAUGAACGCUGGCGGCGUGCCUAAUACAUGCAAGUCGAGCGAACAGACGAGAGUGCUUGCACUCUCUGACGUUAGCGGCGGACGGGUGAGUAACACGUGGGUAACCUACCUAUUAGACUGGGAUAAAUUCGGGACACCGGCGCUAAAACCGGACCAUAUUUAUCCUCGCAUGGAGCAAUAGUGAAAGACGGUUCUGCUGUCACUUAUAGCUGGACCCGCGGUGUAUUAGCUAGCGGGUGAGGUAACGGCUCACCAAGGCAACGAUACAAAGCCGACCUGGGAGGGUGAUCGGCCACACUGGGACUGAGACACGGCCCAGAGUCCUACGGGAGGCAGCAGUAGGGAAUCUGCCGCAAAGGACGAAAGUCUGACGGAGCAAUGCCGCGUGAGUGAAGAAGGUGUUCGGAUCGUAAGACUCUGUUGUAAGGGAAGAACGAGUACGUUAGUAACUGAACGUACCUUGACGGUACCUUACCAGAAAGCCACGGCUAACUACGUG
rnacentral:rRNA from 1 species